rnacentral:lncRNA from 1 species
UUAAGCCUGUUCUGCCAGCUAUCUGAACUCCUUUGGGGAGGGGCUCAUCUCUCCCUGCCUAGGGGUCACUAUCCCUACAGGGCUCUAGGCUUUUCUAUUACAUGGAGACUCAGGUUAUGGAACCCCAAGACAUGAGCUCACUUCCUUGGCAACAUCUCCAAACAGAACUUGGAACCCUUGUCAAUGGGUGUGACGAUCUAGUAACAGCCGUGUUCCAAGCUCACUUGGCUGGAGACGGUCAACAGAGAACAUGCUGAGCUGCUUCUCCACUUCAAGAGGCCGCAGCCUCAGGACCCCAGGGAGAGAAAGUCUCUGUGAAAGACUGAGAAGAUGGCUGACUCCAUCCAGACACCGCAGGCCAUGCUGCAGCAGCCACCUGACUGUCACAGACACCCCAGGGACGGUCUCCCCAGGAGUGACCACCAGUGACCUACCAAAAUCAAGUUAACUGAGACUGCAUGUUCCGGUUGCUGAUGACCUCCAACAGCACUUGGCAUCACAUCUACCUGUCUGCCACCUGUGCAUGACCAUGUCCUUCUUCCCUGGACUCUCCUGCAAGUCUCCACAUUACCAGUGUCCUCUGUGGCAUCCACUCAUGACAGAUAUCCAGAAAGUAUUUUUGGAUGACAGCAAGAAUAGCUUCUGAGACAUCUUUUAUACUCCUGGGGGGUAGGUCUCACAGAUGAGUUAUAUUGCAUUUGUUCUGGUAAUGUUUGAAAAUGAACAAACUCUCUGUUAUGUGUUUUAAAUAAAAGAACUUCGUGGGGAAGCAAAGAAGAUGCUUUUGUCCUGUCACUGUUCCAACAGCUCCUU